rnacentral:rRNA from 1 species
AUUGAACGCUGGCGGCAGGCCUAACGCAUGCAAGUCGAGCGGAUGAUGGGAGCUUGCUCCCGGAUUCAGCGGCGGACGGGUGAGUAAUGCCUAGGAAUCUGCCUGGUAGUGGGGGACAACGUCUCGAAAGGGACGCUAAUACCGCAUACGUCCUACGGGAGAAAGCAGGGGACCUUUGGGCCUUGCGCUAUCGGAUGAGCCUAGGUCGGAUUAGCUAGUUGGUGAGGUAAUGGCUCACCAAGGCGACGUUCCGUAACUGGUCUGAGAGGAUGAGCAGUCACACUGGAACUGAUACACGGUCCAGACUCCUACGGGAGGCAGCAGUGGGGAAUAUUGGACAAUGGGCGAAAGCCUGAUCCAGCCAUGCCGCGUGUGUGAAGAAGGUCUUCGGAUUGUAAAGCACUUUAAGUUGGGAGGAAGGAUUGUGCGUUAAUACCGUGCAAUUUUGACGUUACCGACAGAAUAAGCACCGGCUAACUCUGUGCCAGCAGCCGCCGUAAAAC